rnacentral:rRNA from 1 species
GACGGAGGGUGCAAGCGUUGUUCGGAUUGACUGGGCGUAAAGGGCGUGUAGGCGGUCGGUCAAGUCUGGUGUGAAAGCCCGGGGCUCAGCUCCGGAAGUGCAUCGGAAACUAGCUGGCUGGAGCGCGAUAGAGGAGGGCGGAAUUCCUGGUGCAGCGGUGAAAUGCGUAGAUAUCAGGAGGAACACCGGCGGCGAAGGCGGCCCUCUGGAUCGUUGCUGACGCUGAGACGCGAAAGCGUGGGGAGCAAACAGG